ACGAACGCUGGCGGCGUGCUUCACCCAUGCCAGUCGAACGGAAAGGCCCUGCUUGCCGGGUACUCGAGUGGCGAACGGGUGAGUAACACGUGGGUGAUCUGCCCUGCACUUCGGGAUAAGCCUGGGAAACUGGGUCUAAUACCGGAUAGGAGCCAUUUUUAGUGUGAUGGUUGGAAAGUUUUUUCGGUGUAGGAUGAGCUCGCGGCCUAUCAGCUUGUUGGUGGGGUAAUGGCCUACCAAGGCGGCGACGGGUAGCCGGCCUGAGAGGGUGGACGGCCACAUUGGGACUGAGAUACGGCCCAGACUCCUACGGGAGGCAGCAGUGGGGAAUAUUGCACAAUGGGCGCAAGCCUGAUGCAGCGACGCCGCGUGGGGGAUGACGGCCUUCGGGUUGUAAACGCCUUUCGCUAGGGACGAAGCUUUUUGUGACGGUACCUAGAGAAGAAGCACCGGCUAACUACGUG
rnacentral:rRNA from 1 species